AACGACUUCUGCUAGCCUUAAAUCAAUGCCGGAGUUUUCACUGUAAUGCCUUACGUACCUUAUGAAAAACAGGAAGAAGAAAAAAAAACUCAGAGAUGCUGUGGACCAAGGGCUGGCGGACCUGGCUUUUGAAUGUGAUCUUCUGCAUAAUGUUGAGUUUCAAGCUCAAUGUAUACGUGAUGUAAUAACAAGUGAGAGAAUGUUGGCAUGUUGCUGCUGUUUUUGCAACUUGCAACUCAAUAUUCUCCCCACUUUCUCUUUCAUUCUUUGUUUUAUGCGCAGAGUUAUUAAUGGG
rnacentral:lncRNA from 1 species